CCUCGUUUUUUUCUCUCUCUCAACCCACAUCUACUCUCUCUACCUCGUCGGAGAUGACGACGACGACGAAGCUGUCGGCGAGCCAACCCCACUUGGAUUUCAUCCCUACGGUUUCGAAUUUAAUCUCCGAUAAUGAGUUCGGCAAGUUCCAAGGGCAGCCUAGGAGAUCCCAAGGCAUCUGAUCCGUCUUCUCAAAACUCAUAUUCUCAUACGAAGAACCCCUUCACCGUAGUCUAGCUAGCUUCAAAGCUGAUAUUCUCCCAAAGCCUAUAGGUUUCACAAAGGAAUCUCCACGGAUCAGUCAGGAUUGCUAGAUCUGGCAUGGACCUCAGAAGCAAAUCAAGGGUUAGUAACUUAUCUGCAGUCUCUCUUUGUCACAAGUCAACAAGGUUCUCUGUGAGAAGUUUCUGAAACGAAAGCUCUGUCUUACUAAAUAAAUUGACCGAGGAUCUCUACCAAGUCAAGUCAAUAAUCAGCCAUAUUGUGGAAAUGAUAGCACUAAUAGAGACUUGGGUUCAGCUUAUGUUGUUUUCUAUCUUAUCAACUGAUUUCUUGUUGACUUCUUGUCACCGAUCAAGAAAACAGAGUUGAUAAUUGCUACUCGAUCAGUUCCUAUUGUAAGAAGUUGUUGGAGAACUCUCCAAUCAGCUACUUGGCUUGCAUAUAUUCCAGCUAGUUCUUUGUUGUUUCUCUUUGUAACUUAUCUGCAAAUCAAGGAUGUUGCCAGGACCAGUAAGUGACCCCUCAAAACUUCCCAAGUGGAACUAUGAUGAGUCUAGCACAGGCCAAGCUCCAAGGGAGGUGGACAGUGAGGUCAUCCUCUACUAAGAUGUUCUGGAAAUUUGAUUAGUAUAUAACUUGAUUUAAUUAGUUUGCACUAUCUUUUAACUGAUUACUAUAUUGGGUACAACGUUUGCAUUGCCUUUAACCAAUGAGAAAGAUAACUAACAUCAAGUGCUUUGUAUGUAAUAUGACUUACCCCAAAGAGAGAAGUGUUGCAGUUCUGUAAACACAUGAGUGAGACCCAGUGUGGGCUAUAGGUUCAGAAACAAAGAAAUUCUCUUCUGGGCCUCUCUUUGGAUUUCUUCUUUGUGUUGCCUCUACUCUGGUAUGAUCAAAUCAAGUUGAUUAUGUAUUUUGGUAGUGAAGUUCUGUUUACUGUGUUCUUGAUCAUUUCUGUGGUUUAACUUUAUGGAAGAGUAGUUGGUAUUAAUUUUAUUGAUGCCUCAGUUAUAUUUUAUUAAUUUUGGUAAGUAGAUUUGGUUACAUUUAACUGCCAAUUGAAGUAUGUGGAUUUGAAUGGGAUGUAAGUUUGAAUCAGAUGUUUGAAGGGGUAUUCAACUUUGUGAUUGGGUGGACGUUCAUGUCUGCUACUUUGCUUUUCAUUGAUGGGAAGAGGGACAGAUGCAAGGGGUCUCUUGAUGUCUUAUGGGGCUUUCAGAUGUUCCUUACAAACAGUAUGCUUUCUUUAGUUAAACUUUGAAAAUGGUUGGAGUUCCUUAGCAUGGAUAUGUUUUAGGCUUAUUUUUCCGGUCAGUGUCCUUUUAGUAGCUUGAAGUUGCUGUUGGUGGUAUAAUGAAGAAGUAAGAAAGUUAGGAUUUGUGUGUUGUAGGUAAUUUGUUACUAGUGAAUAUUUAGAAGCUUUGAAUUUUAAGUGAAACUGGAUCUUUAAGUUUAGGAUUGAAAAUUAUGGAACAAUUUGGAAAGCUAAAGCAGUGACCUCCUUAUUUCUUGAUAACAGACUUAAAGAGUAGGUCUUUCUGUGCUUGCUUCUACUAUGUGAUGCUCUCAAGUCUAACUUCUCCAGCAUUUUAGGUGAUUGAUUCUCACGUGCAUGAUACUCUAUCUGGUACCUUGCAAGUGCUAGUAGAGAAGAGUUUCUCUUAUUGUGUUUUGUAUAUGAUGUUAUGUUCUGUUCUGUUCUAUUCUUUUAAUUGGUUAUAGGUUCUCAAACAUCUAUCUUCUUAUUCAAAUUGAAAUGAAUAGGCUCUCAAGCCAUUUAAGCACCCAUCUGGGAGAGGCAAUAAUAUCUGGGUGACCAUGAGAUGCUUUGUUAUUCAUAAUUGUAUUUGAUUAUGAGAUGUUUUGUUUUUCUUCAAGGAUUUCUGAGUGAAGAUGCUUUGGCUCAAUGAAAGAAUUGCUACCGGAAUUCGCUGAAACUCUGUUUCAAGUAGAUGCAUUUGAUUUCAAACGUCAGAGUGAUGCUACAUUUUAGUUUAAGAUGUGGUGGUGAUCUAGAGUGAGAUUGAUUUGAUUACUGAAAUGGUUCCCUCCCAGUGAAUGCAUCUAUAAGAAAGGAUGCCAUGCUGCCAAUAUCCAGUAUUCUUUAAGAACUGUCGUUUCGGGAUUCCUUCUAUGUACGAGUUUGGUGAUGAGGUGCACUCGAAAUGGCUGCUUACAAAGUUGCAGCACAUUCGUUCUCAUAGCUAUGCACUGCAUUUGUAGAAUAUUCAGAGUAGAAGAUUGAAGGUUAAUCAUCUGUUACAAUUCUUCUUCUGCAAGUUCAAAUUUGUCAUUAUAGAAGGCUCACCCUUAUGUAGUUGCUUGUAUUAUGUAAUGUUUUAAAAAUUGUUCUCCAGUAUAGAUAUUGUAAUGAUGAUUUGAGAAAGGAAUAAAAGAAGAUGGGAAUACAUUUUUUCUCUUUGCUUUUAUUGAAAUUAAUGUGUAUUGAAUAUUUAUUUUUAUUGAAAUUAUUUUUAUUCUAAAUAUGAAACUGGAUUAUG